rnacentral:rRNA from 1 species
AGCGGCGGACGGGUGAGUAAUACUUAGGAAUCUGCCUAUUAAUGGGGGACAACAUCUCGAAAGGGAUGCUAAUACCGCAUACGCCCUACGGGGGAAAGCAGGGGAUCUUCGGACCUUGCGCUAUUGGAUGAGCCCAAGUCAGAUUAGCUAGUUGGUGAGGUAAUGGCUCACCAAGGCGACGAUCUGUAGCUGGUCUGAGAGGAUGAUCAGCCACACUGGGACUGAGACACGGCCCAGACUCC